UACAUGAGUUUGAGGACUGUGAACCCCUC
rnacentral:piRNA from 1 species